rnacentral:rRNA from 1 species
AGUGAACGCUGGCGGUAGGCCUAACACAUGCAAGUCGAACGGCAGCACAGUAAGAGCUUGCUCUUACGGGUGGCGAGUGGCGGACGGGUGAGGAAUACAUCGGAAUCUACUUUUUCGUGGGGGAUAACGUAGGGAAACUUACGCUAAUACCGCAUACGACCUACGGGUGAAAGCAGGGGAUCUUCGGACCUUGCGCGAUUGAAUGAGCCGAUGUCGGAUUAGCUAGUUGGCGGGGUAAAGGCCCACCAAGGCGACGAUCCGUAGCUGGUCUGAGAGGAUGGGAGGCGGCAUGGGAGAUUAUACGGCGCCCAUGCUACUGCGGGACGGCCCAGUGGGGAAGGUUGGACAAUGGGGGCGAGUAUUACACAAUGAUAGGGGGUGGGAGACAGAAGCCUUCGGGUCGUGAAGCCGUUUUGCUGGGCAAAAAAAGCAGGCGCCUGAUACCAAGCUGCAGUGACGGUAACCAGAAAAUAAGCACCGGCUAACUUCGUG